GUUACCCAAUUGUAGCUAAUUUCAAACUUCAAUUACUAGAUCUAAACAUCUAUCCAUUUCUUAUUAAAUGAUUAACAUUUUUAAAUAGCCCAAGUGUCCAAAUAAUAUUCACAAAUAAUUCACAAUAAAACAUGAUUUUUAAAUCUCAUUUACAUCAAUUUAGAGGCCAAAUGGAAGGAAUUUAGUGUUCAAUUGCUGUAAAUUAAAGUCAAUUUAAAUCAGCUUUCUAGUGGGUUCCUGUGAACGCGCUGGUUUAGAACGUUCACAUUGCGCUGGAUUUGUGCCCUCAAGUGCCCAGAAAAAUACUGCGGGAUAUAAAGAGCCCAAAAUGAACUACUCGCUAUAGAAAACUUUAAUAACAGGGUUAUAUACAAGCCCCAUUUAAUGUAAAAAUAAGGUACAUACCUUUAAUUGUUUGCUUUAUAAAACCCUGGGGCUGCGAGAGGUUGCGGGUUGAGAGAGUGAUGUUUAAACUACUAUAACUAUUAUACAAGGCCAUAAAAACUAAUAAUACCUUUUGCGACGGGGUCUUUCAGCGAUUUUCCGUUAAUGAUUUACCAGGCUGAACAUUUUCGAUUGCAACAUCCUAGUAAAAAUCGCGUUUUAAACCCGCCCCCUCUAAACAGCGCCAAAAUCGCGCACACGGGGUAGGGCAGAUGCUCAGCCACGAUUCAGGUAGGUUUUGUAACAUACCUACUUCUACAAUACAUAUAAUUUGAUCCCAUCAUCACUGCAUUAUCUCACAAGACAUUUGCCUGCUUCAUAAUCGUUGGGUUUACAUUUCCUUAUUUUUACAGAUUUGACAAAUACUUAGCUGCAUUGAAACAUCCCCCCAGGAAUAAUAUUUAAAAAUGAGUCCAGCCUAGAAUAAAAACAAUAGUUGACAUCGUUAGCCACGAUUGUAUGCCAAUAAUUACAUUUCAGUAUUUGAUGGUCAGAUCCACCAUGAAACACUUUCAUCAUCCAACCUCUGUUUCAUUUACCCCCAACAGCUACUCCCCUUUCUGUGGCCCCUUACCAUGAAGGCACUCCUUCCCAUUUCAGAUACUUUUUCCUCGUGAAAUAUCAAUUUGGCAGGGGCUACGGACUAUAACCAACUACCAGAGCAGCCCCCCCCAACCGGAAGUGCCGGCACCUCCCUAGCUGACGACCUGAACUUUUUCCACGCUCGUUUCGAGACGGGCAACAUCACCCCAGGCUUGCCGGCUAACGACAACACCGCCAGCGCGCUGGCUAGCGAGGCUGGAGGGAGGGCCACCGCUGGGGAUGGAUACACACUCUCGUUGUCCGAGCACGACGUGAAAAGGACUCUGACACGUGUGACACGAGGAAAGCUGUAGGCCCAGAUGACAUCUCUGGGUGAGUACUAAAGUCUUGUGCUAUGCAGCUAGCUCCGGUGCUCACUACAAUAUUCAACCUCUCCCUGGCCAAGUCCGUGGUCCCUGCCUGUUUCAAAAGAUCCAUCAUUGUACCUGUACCAAAGAAUGCCUCUCCAGCUUGUCUGAAUGACUACCGUCCGGUGGCCCUCACCUCGGUAGUCAUGAAAUGCUUUGAGAGGCUGGUCAAGAAACACAUCUGCGCCUUCCUCCUCGCAACAUGGACUGCUACAAUUCGCAUAUCGUCCGAACAGAUCCACGGACGAUGCAGUUUCCCAGGUUCUGCACACCGCUCUCUCUCACCUUGACAGCCAGAAGGGGGGCUAUGUGAGGAUGCUGUUCGUAGACUUCAGUUCAGUCUUCAACAGGAUAGCCCUCUAGCGGGAAGAGGUGGUUGAUCUGGCACUCUGGUGUCAGGACAACAGCCUCCUCUUGAAUGUCAAAAAAACUAAGAAGCUGAUCGUGGACUUUAGGAGGGCACAACAUCCGAGGAUGUACACCACUGAAGAUAAAUGGGGAUACUGUGGAUAGGUUGAGCUGCUUUAAAUACCUGGGAGUCCACAUCUCAGAGGAUCUGACAUGGACAUCACACGCUGCCGCACUGGUGAGUAAGGCAAGGCAGCGCCUUUACCACCUCAGGCAAUUGAGGAAAUUCAGAGUGUCUCUGAGGAUCCUCCAGUGCAUCUACUCAGCGACUGUGGAAAGCAUCUUGUCUGGAAACAUCACAAUUUGGUUUGCGAACUGCUCUGCCCAGGACAAGUAGGCUCUGGAGAGAGGAGUGCGUUCGGCCGAAUGCACUAUGGGAACUACACUCGCCCCCAUGCAGGAACUAUACAUCUACUUUAAUUGUCAUUGUCAGUGUACAGUACAGAGACAACAAAAUGCAUUUAGCAUCUCCCUGGAAGAGCGACAUAGAAUAUGAUUUGAAUAAAUAUUUACAUUAGCAUAUAUACAGACAUAGUGUUUUUCCUGUGGGAGGAGUGUCCGGGGGGGGGGGGGGGGGGGGUGAUUGGCAGUCACCGAGGUACGUUGUUGAGUAGAGUGACAGCCGCCAGGGAGAAGCUGUUCCUGGACCUGCUGGUCCGGCAACGGAGAGACCUGUAGCGCCUCCCGGAUGGUAGGAGGGUAAACAGUCCAUAGUUGGGGUGAGCGCAGUCCUUGGCGAUGCUGAGCGCCCUCCGCAAACAACGCUUGCUUUGGACAGACUCAAUGGAGGGGAGCGAGGAACCGGUGAUGCGUUGGGCAAUUUUCACCACCCUCUGCAAGGCCUUCCGGUCGGAGACAGAGCAGUUGCCAUACCAUACUGUGAUACAGUUGGUAAGGAUGCUCUCGAUGGUGCAGCAGUAGAAGUUCACCAGGAUCUGAGGAGACAGAUGGACCUUCUUCAGUCUCCUCAGGAAGAAGAGAUGCUGGUGAGCGUGCAGAUCCAGAGCUAGCAACAUUAUGGGGGACCCCUUCCACCCCAGCAACAGACUGUUCUAGCUGCUACGGUCAGGCAAACACCUCCGUUGCUAUGCUGUGAAAACAGAGAGGAUAAGAAGGAGUUUCGUCCCAGUGGCCAUUAGGACUGUAAACUCCUAUCUCACCAGAGACUAACUUACUGUACCAAUUUACUGCUGUGUGGUGUAUUUUUAAAAUUGCUGUUUUUUCUUUUUUUCCCCACAAAUAUGUAAUUACUGAUUCUGUUCCAUACUGUUUUGUUGUUUUUUGGAGAAUCCGCAAGCAUUGCCACUUUUCAUUUCACUGCACAUCUCAAUCAUGCGUAUGUGACGAAUAAACUUGACUUGACUUGAAUUUAGUACACUCAAUAUUGUGGACAAAUCAUAAAUGUGUGACUUCUUUGCUAAAUUGACAUUAUGACCCUGAAAUGUAAUUCCUAUCCCUAUUUGUUUUACCUUUGUUUAAGUAAUAAUAAUCUGAGAAAUUAUAGGCCGGUGAGCAUCAAAUUAGUAGUAGGGAAGCUAUCGAGAGAGGGUGGGAGGCAGGGUGGUUUUGUGGAAACCGCAGUAUGUCACAGGUUAGCAUAGCAGUACAGCACAAUAAUAAUAACUUUAUUUAUAAAGCGCUUUUAGACAACAUCAGUUACCACAAAGUGCUGUACAUGGGAAGUCAACAAAAAGUUAUUACAAACUACUAAAACCAUUAAGACGACAGGACUAUAAAAACAGUAAAAAUUAAAAGACAUUAAAAGCACUAAAACAGGAACAAAGUCUCAGCCAGUGUCGAAAGCCAGUGAAUAAAAGUGAGUUUUUAGGGAGGAUUUAAAGAUGGACAGUGAAGGGGCCUGUCUGAUCUGCAGCGGCAAGGUGUUCCAGAGUGCCGGGGCAGCAACAGAAAAGGCUCUAUCCCCUCUGAGCUUCCGCUUAGACCUUGGUACCUCAAGGAGCAGCUGAUCCGCUGACCUGAGGCACCGGGCAGGAGCAUAUAGGUGGAGCAGCUCAGAGAGGUAAGGCGGGGCGAGGCCAUUCAAUGAUUUAAAAACAAAUAAAAUAAUUUUAAAAUGAAUUCAAAAGUGCACUGGGAGCCAGUGAAGGGAGGCCAAAAUUGGCGUAAUGUGCUCCCUCUUUCGAGUUCCGGUUAAAAGGCGAGCGGCAGCAUUUUGGACCAACUGGAGACCUUUAUCCAUUCCUUGAUGCACACCACAAUGUACCUGAUAGGUAUUCCUUGACGUACACUUCAAGGUUUUUGAUAGUUAUCCUUACUCAAAUUAAAUAAAGGAUUAAAUAACAUGUGGUUUUACUUGCAUUAGUGUUAUUGCAUUUGUAUUAGUGUUUUGAGAACGUAGUUAAUAAUGAUCAGAAAUUAUAAAGUGCGCACAAUUUCUCGGGUCAAAAUCUAUAUAAAAAGUUGACCUUCCGAGUGGGAUUCAGAGUGGUAUGGUAAUUGGGACUGCGCUGUUCUCCUUGUACACAAGUAAAUAAAGUGUCUGGGAAAUGAAUGCAAGUUGUUAGAGUCCAGUUGAUCAGCGACGACAGUUUAUAGUUAUAUAAAACUGGAGAAUGCAAUAUCAAUACCCAUGGGUUGUAAGCUACCAAAGUGGAAUUUGAGGUGUUGUCUCUCCAGUUAGCCUGUGGCCUCACUCUGGCAAUGGAGGCCCAGGACAGAAAGCGCAGUAUGGGAAGACGAGUUAAAAUAGUUAGCAAUUGGGAGAUCCUUUACACCUUGGCAGACCAAGGUCAGGUUAACGGCGAAAUAGUCACCGAGUCUAAGCUUGGUCUUCUUAAUGUACAGGAAGCCGCAUCGGAAACACCAAUUGUAGUUGAUGACCUUGGAGGAGGUGCAUGUGAACUUCUGUCUCACCUGGAAAGAAUGCUUGGGUCCCUGGAUAGAGAUUCGGGAUCCCAUUGUGACGCCAUUGUGACGUUGAACGCUGCUGAUGGGCAUGGAUGAGGCAGAAAACUGAAGCUCCCGAGGGAAUCCCACACAGUUAGAGGGAGAUUGUGCAGCUUCCACACAGACGAUGGUUCCACACAGACAGCACCAGAUGUCAGGAAUUAACACAGAUCACUAGAGAUGUGAAGUAUUUAUACCAGGUGCACCUCUUAGCUAUCCUGAAAUUUUACUGUGCAAAGCCUUCCAAUCAAAAUUCUGGGCUAAAAGGAUAGAUUUGCUCAUGCAAUCUGCAAAAUGCACAUUGAAUUAAUUCAAAAGUGGUAUUUGCAAAAAAAUGUUUUUGCCAAGUUUGAGAUAUAGAAUAGCAAGUCUCCAGAAGGUGGUGUUAAUAUGUUUUAUAAUGAAAUUCCUCCUACGUUGCAGGAGAUUUUUUUAAUACCUAGGGGAAUUAUUUUACUUAGUGCUCCAGUUAAAUGAUAAAGCAGUUAACUUUCCUCCUAUUUUUAUAGCAUGUUGACAGGGAACCAAUUUAUUCAGAAAUGCUCUUAAUUAACAAGCAGGCAGUUAGAAAAACCUUCAAUAAUGUUGUUAAAUCAUUUGUUAACAAUACUGUCAGCCACAAAAAAUACGAGUUAAUAGAAUCAUGCUUUUUAUAUGGAACAAGGUGUGCAAGUGUGCAUGUUGGGAACUUCGAAUUCCUUCUUCCCAUUCUGAUAUUACUGUAAAUUUGGAAGAUUAUCCCCAAUAAAUGAUUAAGAAUGAAAAA